rnacentral:rRNA from 1 species
GACGAACGCUGGCGGCGUGCUUAACACAUGCAAGUCGAACGGAAAGGCCCGGCUUUUGUGGGGUGCUCGAGUGGCGAACGGGUGAGUAACACGUGAGUAACCUGCCCUUGACUUUGGGAUAACUUCAGGAAACUGGGGCUAAUACCGGAUAGGAGCUCCUGCUGCAUGGUGGGGGUUGGAAAGUUUCGGCGGUUGGGGAUGGACUCGCGGCUUAUCAGCUUGUUGGUGGGGUAGUGGCUUACCAAGGCUUUGACGGGUAGCCGGCCUGAGAGGGUGACCGGCCACAUUGGGACUGAGAUACGGCGCAGACUCCUACGGGAGGCAGCAGUGGGGAAUAUUGCACAAUGGGCGGAAGCCUGAUGCAGCAACGCCGCGUGCGGGAUGACGGCCUUCGGGUUGUAAACCGCUUUCGCCUGUGACGAAGCGUGAGUGACGGUAAUGGGUAAAGAAGCACCGGCUAACUACGUG